UCAAACGGCGGAAGGAGGCCGGUUGUUAAUUUCUACGGAUUUUUUCACGGUAUUUAUUAUCCACUAAACUCAAAGUCCUGAAAAUAUGAUGAACAAACGAAGCAAAUAUAGGACGAUACCGAUCAAACUAGACCGUAUAAUCUCGCCGAGAUCAACUUUUGACGUGGUAAGUACGUAAAAAAGAUGUAGCCACUGUAACAUUUUCCAUUCUUUCCGGUAAAACAUAAGGAUCAUCAGGCUUACGCCGUUGAAUUGCGCUUUCUGUAUUUUCUUGCAAAUUUUCUUUCCUUUUCUCUUUAUCCUCUCAAGUCUCCGACCGAAUAUGCAUCUGGAGUAAUCAUAUUUGCAUCAAACGUAGAAAGCGUAACAUGACAGAGAUAGAAAGUAUCAUCCGAGCGCGAAGCCCGGACGCAAAUUAUGUACAGGUUUUACUUUUCGCUCAAUGCUCGCUCGUCGUACCGUUGCGGCCACUUAUUGGCAACCUAAUUCAUCGCGAAAUAUCGUUUGUGUUAUCAGCGCUUGAUUGCAUAAAAAAGUCGUUAUAGUCCCCCCGUUGUCCCGUUUACGCUGAAGUUCGGCGCUUGAGUUACGGAGCGGCGCGCGCAGCCGGUCUCCCCCUGCCGCCAUCAUUGCCGUCGCGUCGGUCGCCAGUUGCAGCUGACCGAUGGGAGCGUUCGGAGUGUCGUUCGCGUGUCGCGUCUCGCAGAUUCCGCGCUCGUGCGUGUCCCCACGCGUACGUACGUACGUCGUGCGUCGUGUCUCGGUACGCGCUUGUCAUCGGCACGCGUCGCCGCCAGUGAGUCGUCGCCGCGAGUGAUUCGAUCGCUCGUAGAACCGGCGUGAGUGAACGAUCCUCGCGCAUCCUGCUCCUCGUUGCGAAACGGUGAAAGGCGCGGGACGAAGAAGAGAUCCCGGGACCGCCGACGACGGAUUCCGGACGGGUCACAGAUACUGCCACCACGGUCAAUAUAGGACACGGGGUGACUGUCGACCAAGGCGUCGUCGAUCAGCAGCGGCGAGGUGCAGUCUCCGUUCGAGAUUAAACGGCUUGGUUGAAAAGCUCCGGGAGGCCAACGCCGACUGUGGCUGUGCUGGAGCCCCAGGGCGUUCACUCAGAUGUUACGCCUUAAUUUGUUCGACCGGUCGGCGUCCGAAACCGUCGGUUUCUGGAGCGAAGACAACGCGGCACGGUGUUUGGACGCGGAAGAAGUAUGCUAAUAAUAUUACAACCUAAUUCGUAGCAAGCGACCUGAUGAAGCGUAAGUAGGAUGAAUUAUACAAGAGCGCAUUUCGCGAGAUUACAGUGUCGUUACGAUGUUAUUAGCUGCGCGUAUCGUUAACCCUCGCGCACGCUCAUUCCGCCGAUGUUUCGGCCAUUUGCAACUUUCAAGUGGCGGUGUUACGAGCACAGGCAAGACGGCAAGUACGCGAUUUACGAUUACGGUAAAAUUAUACUUUGUUCGGGCUAAUCAAAAGCGAACGCGAUCGACUGCGACGAGGGUCUCGCGUGUAAUUCCUCGGACGAUUUCUCAUGACAUGUGCGACAUCUCGAGCAGGAGAAGUAAAGUUUCACCGCGAGUCCCUCCUCUCCUCCCCUCCGCCGUUACAUCGAAAUGUUAUCUCGAGUCUUGGAGAUCUGGAGGGGGAGGAGGAAAAAAUAAAUAAACCGAGUCGGAGAGUUUUCUCGCCGGGGCGCGGGCGGAGGCGGCUCCGCAUUAAAAUGUAUAGCUCGCCGUCGAAUGUUAAUUCAAAUGAAUCGACGCUCGCAGAUGGAAUUUUCGACGACAAAGGGUAGAACCGAGGGAGAUCCUCGGAGUUUACGCCCUCUCGACACCGGUCGGCGCGAUUGAAUUUUCUUAUCGGCGAGCUCGCGGACGGUACAUUGGCCUUUAGCGGAUACCGACACUAUUUUGGCGCACGAGACGGCUCCCGGAAGCGUAGGAGAGUUAGACGGAACGAAAGAGACGAGAGAAAAAAGAGCGGGAGGGUGAGACGGACGCCUUGAACGGCACAGAGAGGUGGGUUUAAGCGAAAUUGCUUUGGGUCUGGGAGCCUUUCGAAUGUCGC